rnacentral:rRNA from 1 species
ACGGAAGGCAGCAGUGGGGAAUAUUGGGCAAUGGGCGAAAGCCUGACCCAGCGACGCCGCGUGGGGGAAGAAGGUCUUCGGAUUGUAAACCUCUUUCAGCAGGGAAGAAGAAGAUGACGGUACCUGCAGAAGAAGUCACGGCUAACUACGUGCCAGCAGCCGCGGUAAUACGUAGGUGGCGAGCGUUAUCCGGAAUUACUGGGUGUAAAGGGUGUGUAGGCGGAGAAGCAAGUCAGGCGUGAAAUUUGUGGGCUCAACUCACAAACUGCGCUUGAAACUGUUUCCCUUGAGAGUGGGAGAGGUAAACGGAAUUCCUGGUGUAGUAGUGAAAUGCGUAGAUAUCAGGAGGAACACCGGUGGCGAAGGCGGUUUACUGGACCACAACUGACGCUGAGACACGAAAGCGUGGGGAGCAAACGGGAUUAGAUACCCUGGUA